UCAUACCCUCCCUUACGCUAUGUAGAACCCCUUAAGAAAGCCCUAGUAGAAGUUCACACCUUUCAUACCUUCAUUUACUUUUACAUUAGGGAAAAAUUGCAAUAACCGACAUAGACCAUGAGAGCUACAUGGAAUCUGGUAUUCUACUCCCACACCGAAAAGAGAGGGUUAGCACUUCCCUAAGGUGUAACCAUUUGUACAUAGCUAGCCAGGUGGAUCCACUAAGCUAAAGUCCUAUGUGGGCACAUAGUUAAGGGUCAAGAAGAUUGCUUCUAGAAAUC
rnacentral:lncRNA from 1 species